rnacentral:rRNA from 1 species
GAUGAACGCUGGCGGCGUGCCUAAUACAUGCAAGUCGAGCGAACAGACGAGGAUCUUUCUCCUCUGACGUUAGCGUCGGACGGGUGAGUAUCACGUGGAUAUCCUCCCUAUAAGACUUUGAUAACUUCGUGCAACCGGAUCUAUUACCGGUUAAUAUCUUUCUCCGCCUGGUUCAGUAGUGAAAGACGGUUUUGCUGUCACUUAUAUAUGCUUCCGCGCCGCAUUAGCUAGUUGGUAAUGUAACGGUGUACCAAGGCAACGAUGGGUAGCCGACCGGAGAGGGUGAGAGGCGACAGUGGAACUGAGACACGGUCAAGACUCCUACGGGAGGCAGCAGUAGGGAAUAGUCCGCGAUGGGGGAAAGCCUGAGGGAGCAACGCCGCGUGAGUGAUGAAGGUGGUCGAAUCGUAAAACGCUGUUAAUAGGGAAGAACAAAAGUGUAAGGAACUAUGCAGGGUGUGAAGGUAACUAAUCAGAAAGCCACGGCUAACUACGUG